rnacentral:misc_RNA from 1 species
ACAGUCAUAGACCGGUACAUGGAGAACACACGUUGUUUCGACCCAGAAAACAUGGAGGCCAAUGAAGACAGGACGAUGUUUGAAGAAGAGUGUAUAUGCCCUGUCUAUCGAUCCUGCUUCGUGAAAAUCAUCGACCAAAUCUCAGAUGGCAACAGCAUUGUUGACUUUGCGACGGCCGAGAAACGUUACAUCUGCAAAUCACAGAAGACCUUGGAUGUAGAGCAAAAGAAAAAGAACGAAGCUUCCAACCACGCAGCUUCCGGUUAAAUCAACAGUUCUCUGACUCUGCAAGUGCUGCAACCACAUCAUUGUUAAAAAAAAUUGAGAACUAAAUAUUCGUUACCUUCUUUUGUCUAUUUUUAUAGCUAAAAGAGUAUAAACUGAUUAUAAAUG